rnacentral:rRNA from 1 species
CCGGCGACGUUCCAGGCACUCAUGAACGAUCUGCUGCGGCCGUACUUGCGCCGCUUUGUUCUCGUCUUCUUCGACGACAUCCUCAUAUUCAGCGAGACGUGGGCCGAUCAUCUUCGCCAUGUGCGCACCAUCUUUACCGUACUGCACCAGCACCGGCUCUUCGUCAAGAGGUCCAAAUGCUCGUUCGCCGUCGAGUCGAUCUCCUACCUGGGUCACACCAUCUCCGCGGCCGGCGUGGCCAUGGAUCCGGAAAAAGUGCAGGCCGUGGCCGACUGGCCGCAGCCUCGCUCGGCGCGCGUGGUUCGGGGGUUUCUCGGUCUUGCGGGGUACUACCGCAAGUUUGUCAAGGAGUUUGGCGUGGUCGCCGCGCCCCUGACGGCCCUGCUUCGCAAGGACGGCUUCUCAUGGUCGCCGGAGGCGGCAGCAGCUUUUUUCGCCCUUAAGACGGCGGCCACCACGGCUCCCGUGCUCGCGUUGCCAGAUUUCACA